CCAUCAGUUUCCUGUUAGCGGUCGGCACUGAGGGUGAGGCAGGCCAUUUUACUGCGCCGUCUAAAAGAGGUCGUUAAUGCUCGGGAUGCCACGCCGGAGUUUUAGUUUGGAUCCCGGUAAGGACACGCAACAACCCACCAGCGCCUCCGCUUAACUGAGUGAACCACUCGCGCUUUUAACUUUAAGAGGGUAACAGGCCCUGUUCUCUGACGGUGAAAAGGCAUUUGAUCAAGUUUGGCUUGGAGGUCUGCCGCACAAACUACGCACGUUAUCCGUUCCUCAUGGUCUUUACAAUGUGCUGAAGUCAUAUCUAUAUGACCGCGUCUUCAGCGCACGCGUGAGAGAUACACAGUUGCUGCUGCAAUUUCUGACUGCAGGGCCCCUUCUUCCGCCCCUUUAAUUUGCUGUUUAUAUGAGCGACGUGCCCUUGCCUUCAAAUCCACCUACACCAAUCGCCCUCUACGCCAAUGAUACGGCCAUUUACUCAACGUCGAAUUCUCCCGUCCCGCUAUGCAAGCAUCUACAGCGCUAUCUUGAUACUCUUGCUAACUGGUGCCGUAAUUGGAAAGUUUCUAUAACUGCGAUGAAGAGCAAAUGCGCUUUUAAUUACUAAGAAACACGUCCUCUUGUUAGCCCCCUUUACCCUUGAUGGCGAGAAGAUUCCGUGGUGUUCUCAAGCGAAAGACUUGGGAAAUCCUCAUUGACAACAAACUUUCCUGGCAGGCGCUCGUGGACUAUGUAGUGGCGAAGGUCAAGGCGGCAACUAAGGCGCUUUACCCUUUACUAGGCGACCUGCGACUCCUUUGCAAUAGCGUCGGCCUUUCAAGUGCUACAGAACAAACUGCUGCGCGCGUUGACAAACUCUCCGUGGUUUGUGCGAGAUGAAGCAAAUGAAGCUCUUGAGACCAGGACCUGUGGCUGAACCCUUUAACCGUCGUCUUCCAACGUAACGCCAAUGCCCUUUACCACAGAUUAGCCAGGAACACUAAUCGCCUGCUGGUGAGUGUACUUACUUACGAGCCUUGGGACGGAGGGACGGAGUACGUUAUCGCCGCCCACGUGACGCGCGCUGUUACGUGAGAUGUCUGCAAUCGCUUCUGAUUGAGAGCUCAAAAGUAUUCAAAGUUUUCUGAC